GGGUAUUUUUGUGUUUUUGUGCUGCUGUAGAGCUGAAAGUGUAUUUGGGUCUGUGGCUAGAAGCAACCUUUUUCUUUGGAACCAUACUCUAUCAUGAGGAAUGUAGCAACAACUCUCACUGUUAUAACCCAAAGAGUGGCAGUAUCAGGCAUUGAUUUCUUUUUCUCCAUUGCUUUGAGUGUAACCCUCAGUAUUAGAAUUAUUCAAUCCAGAAACAUGCCACUGUUGAGUUUCAUGUCUUCUUUUGUGGUUCAAAUAAAUAUUUGCCUGUAUGUGGGUAUGUCUAGUUGCUUUGAUUAGCACUGCUCUGUUUUUUUUUUUUUUUCUUUUUGUUAAGCAGUAUGAGACAUUUCUCAGCUUGUCAUUGUUUUACUAUGUGUCCCUUUUUUUUUUCUUCAGAUAAUCAACUAUUGGAUCGGCUUUCUGUGCUGCAUUGAUGGGGCCACUAGAAGCUAAGCUAACAGUCAGGUACGAGAAUCUCCCUAUUGCAUUACUAGUAACUCAAGGACAAAGGCAAUAAUGAGGCUUCCUGCAUCAAAAAGAUCUUUAAAUGUUUUAAACCAAUAGAAGGUUUAAUCUCUGUACUUGUUUUUAAAUACCUGAAUUGUACAAGUCAAGAGUGCUGGAGCUAUAUGCAAGCGAUGAUCGUGGGAUCAAUGUAGUCCGCAAUAAGAUCAAGGAUUUUGCAGCUGUAGCUGUAGGUUCUGGUAACCCCCAUGGGGGUUACCCUUGUCCGCUGUUCAAGAUCAUUAUCCUAAAUGUGGCUGAUUCAAUGACUGAAGAUGCUCAGGUACUUGUAGACUGUACCCAUUCUCAGUCCUUGAAUCUGGACCAUUGAACUAUCUCCCAUUGAACUCUCUCCCAGGUUGAUAUUUAUAACCUUAUAAUCAUUGAACUAUCUCCCAAGUUGAUAUUUAUAACCUUGUAAUCAUUGAACUAUCUCCCAUUGAAUCUGGACCAUUGCUGUAUUUUCUCAUUAACCAUCUAUUUGUAGGCCAAUGAAUAAAAAGGUUAGGAACUUCCAUUUAA